UUUUUUGUACCGAGGGUUCGAAUCCCUCUCUUUCCG
rnacentral:tRNA from 1 species